AAAAAAAGUAAAAUUUGGCAGGGCUCAUUGUAAGCUGGUGAGGAGGCAUGAGUGGAGAGAAUUCCUAAAAGAGAUCCUAACUUAAUCAAUCACUUGAAACAGGAGGCAAAAAGCUGCUUUCAGAAAUAGAUCAAAAGGGUUGGAUUGGCCCAGGCGUGCACACACCGUAUCAAUCUCUGGCCCAACCAUGCGAGGCCCCAGGCAUCACCUCACAAGCGUGCACAGAGCAGCCUGGUUUUAUUUGUAAAUGCACAGGAACCACCUGAAACCCAACCCCAGGGUAAGGCUGAUGGGGCAGGGGCCAUGUGGAGUAGGAGUCAGGACCAAAUGGAAAUUCCCUUGGAUUUAUUUUCCUCCUGAUUUCAUGCCGGUGGAACACACACUAAAUUCAUCCCCAAACUGACCAAUUAGUGGGGCCCCAUCUAAGAGAUGGAAAAGGGCCUGAGGCAAGAAAGAAAGGCCAGGGCUGGCUGGUGCCAAGGACAGAAGACCUGCCUCCCUGGCCUGUACCUGUAUGAACUCAACUCCCAGGAACUGAGGCCACUCCUGUCUCUCAUCUCCGUGCUCAAGGCUUUGAGCCCAGUAUCCAGCCUUAGUUCACCUAACCCUCUGCACAUAGACCAGCAAUGGAUAGAUCACUCCUGCCUUCUUACUCCUGGAAAUAACAAGCAGGUGGAAGAAAAAGAACCUGGUCAGAGCUUAUUCCUUUCAUUGUAAUUUUUGGGAGACAUCUAGAACAUCACCGACAGGCCUGAUUUCAAAACACAAUCUUCUACUAAAUUGAC
rnacentral:lncRNA from 1 species